UUGAGCCGUAUGCGGGGAAACUCGCACGUACGGUUCUUAAGGGGGGGGCCCUCUUCCGAAAAGAAGGGGCUACCCUAC
rnacentral:ncRNA from 1 species